rnacentral:rRNA from 1 species
UACGGGGGGGGCAAGCGUUGUUCGGAAUUACUGGGCGUAAAGGGUUCGUAGGGGGCCAACUAAGUCAGACGUGAAAUCCCUCAGCUUAACUGGGGAACUGCGUCUGAUACUGGUGUGGCUUGAGUGCAGGAGAGGAACGCGGAAUUCCAGGUGUAGCGGUGAAAUGCGUAGAUAUCUGGAGGAACACCGGUGGCGAAGGCGGCAUUCUGGACCGACAUUGACGCUGCGGAGCGAAAGCCAGGGGAGCAAACGGG